CUCAGCUGGCCCCAAACUAGUUGGCCCUAGGGGGAUAAGAACUUCCCAUCUUGUUAGUUUCUGAGCCUCUCACUAUUCUUUUCCUCAUUAUCCUUUUCUUGUUCCCUUAAACUUGCCUAACAUUCAAUAACUGGUUCCUACAUUAAAGCCUCUUCAUUUGAACAGUUAUGAGCGAAUUCUGUUUCCUACUGGCAAGCUGGCUGAUACACCAGAUGAAGAAGGAGCCACCCUCAAAGACAACAAACUCAGCGUUGAAAUAUGUUACUAUGUCAACAGUCUGCUGCUCUGAAAUUUAGCCCUGGACAAAGAAGGCAAAGGAAUCCCAGAAGAAGCCAUUUUCCAUGCCUGGAUUCUAAUAAUGAGGAUGGUAGAAACACACAAGGACUCAGGAUCAAAGCUCUGUCUGGGAGAAAGGGUGCUCUGCAGUUAUCUUGAUUAUGAAGAAGGUGGUAACCAAGUAGGGUGCAAAGUCAGGAGAUGAAAAAUGGAGGCCUCACCCUCAGGAGGGAGGCAGUGCUGCAUAUUGUGCCAUCCUUUCUGCAAAUGAGGAAACUGAGACUUGGCAAGGAUAAGUAACUUCACCCGGUUGAAACAUCAUGAAAACAGUGAUCACUGAAGCUCUCUGAUUCUGAUGACUAUAUGCCCAUUUCAUUGUCCUUCAGCAGGGGGAUAGGCAAUGUCCCUGAAAAGACUUUAUAAUUUGACUCUCAUUGUAUAGUUUAGGCUUCUUUGGAACCUUCAUUUUUUCAAGAAAUAUGGGAAAAGAAAGAUAAAGAACUUGUGUCUUCUCCAUACUAAUCUCUUCUCAGAGUUCCCAACACACAGGGAACUAUGCUCACAGUUUUCAAAGACUAAAGGUACUGAAGGCUUAGACAGAGACUCUUUGCCAGGCCAUUGGUCCUCAUGGUUGUGCAGGCAGCCAAGGACCUGAAGAUGACGAUGUAAAGCGAUCCCCUAGGAAGUGUACUGCAGCGUGGGCUCUCGGCGUGGACCACUGAGACUAUUUGGGCUCCAAAACACAGCUCCCUCUUUUUUACCAACUGUUUGAUUAACCUUGGAUACAUAACUUAACCUCUCUGCGCGUCAUUUCACUCAAGUGUCAAAUGGAUAUAAUACCUAAUUUGUAAAGUUGAUAUAAAGAGUAAAUUAAUCUGAUUAAAAUGCUCAGUCCAGUGCCUACCACAUAGUAGGGGCUCACUAAACCUUAGCAUCGUUAGUAUUAUUUUUAGAUUUUACUUUUCCAGUCUACCAGAAGAAGUAGGAAUAGGUUUAUUGUCAAAAAGAUCUAACCAUGUUAUAAAUAUGCAGGAGGCAAUCAAAAGUAUGUGUCUACAUGUUUAUGGUGAAAGAGAGCUGUUGAAAACUAAGCAUCUCAGCUGUUUCUGAGCUUUCUCAUUAACAUUUGUUUGUUCUUUUUGAUUCCUUUUGUUUUCUGCUAGCAGACAAGUGGUAGCAGGUGCCAAAGUUUAAGGAAAAAUAUGGGAGAAAAUUUUAAAUGGGGUUAUCUAUUCAUUAACUCUUUUUCUCCCUGCAAAUUUUGUAGGGCUGUGAAGGAGAAGAAUAUAACUCAGGAAACCAAUCAUCUCGUGCAGAAGAGUCCUGUGUUGGGCUUCUAGAAGGCUGGGCUGAGUCUGCGCAGCACAGGCAGCUGAAGAGCUUUCCAGUGAGACCUGAGGUCAUGGGUUUUAAUAAACUGGGCUAGGCAGAGGGUGACCAGUUGUCCCAGUUUGCCUAGAACUUCUCUGUUUUUAGCACUGAAAGUGCCGCAUCCUGGGACAGCCCUCAGCACUGGAAAACCGUGAUGCCUGGUCACCCUAGUGAGAAUUAAAUUCAGCAGCAGGUGAGAUGGUAAACCUAACUAGACAUGCAAAUCUGCAAUCGACAUUCAACUCUCAUCCUUCGCCUGCCACCUGCCAUCUUUAUCAACCGCUAAAGGAACUAACCACAGUCCCCCAGUAGACGAUCCUGCUUGGUCAGACAGAGAGAAAUGACAAAGUGCAGCAGCUGUUUCUCUUCUGCUGCCCCUUACUAUCUCUUCUUUGCUUGUUUGUUUGUUUGUAUGUAGAAUGUAUUUAUGGGUGUAUUUUUCUCUCCGUAAGCUGAAUGGUUGACUUGUGCUAGUGGCAAUGGCAUUAGCAGGCAGCACAAACCCUGAACAAAGACUUAGUUGAUGUGGUUAACCAGUGUGUCAAGUACAAAGUAGGUAUAGUAUGUUCAAAGACUCUCUACAUGGAUCUAAUAAAUGAGAUAACAGACAAAAAACUCAUUUGUUCUAGAAAAUGCAAUCUAGUACAUUAGAGGGAGCCCAGAAAGAAGAAAUGUUUUUUAAUAGUCAUUUUUUUGAGCACUUAGAAUGUGCCAUGUGUUUAACUGUGCUCUCAUUUAAUCCUUCAACAACUCUGUGAGGUUGAAGUAUAGACACAAGAAGAGGUUCAGGACAAGUUUGUGGAUGGAGAAUGUAGUUUUCAGUUCGAGCUAUGCUAAAAACUUGGUGAAUCACCUUGCAUAUGUCUUUUAGCCACAGCAUAACUCUUUAUAUUUAUCUGUAAAAUAGGUCCUCCUCAUUUCCCAGGGUAAGUUUCAGGAUUGCAUAAGAGAAUAAACAUGAAUUUACUUUGUAAAAUGCCAUCCAGGUAUAAUCCUGUCUCCCCUAAUACAUACACAUACACAGACACAAACACAGACAUACACACAACACGUAAACACGAACACACCUAGUAAAUUUUGGAAAUUGUUUUAAUCUUUCUAAUGACCACAACCAUGAAAUGAUUUGGGAGUGGGAACAAAGGCUUUGGUCUUUGUCAGAGUCCUGCCACCACCUGUUCAAGCCACACCAAAAAAACACACAAUGUCAAUACAAAGUGCCCAGCCUUCCCGGGGCAGCUUCCCUCUAGUCCUUUCUAGUCGGAAACUCCACACUCCAUCCCUGCUCUAUGCCACAAUUUCACAUCUAUACAUCUCAAACUUUUGACUUUGGACCAUCUGUUGGAAAUAGAGACACAAGUAAAAUAUUAGAGCUUAGAGUACUGAUUAAACUCCAAGUAUUUGCAAAUCUUAUCUAACAAAGCAAAAUGGUUCAAGUUAUCAUUCGUAUCUUGAUAUCUUGUGAGAUUUUGUUCUUAGCCUUCAAUUUC